AACCAUUCUCACCUGCGGCUAGACCUGCGGAAGGAUCAUUACCGAGUUUACAACUCCCAAACCCAUGUGAAUCUUACCUUUUCGUUGCUUCGGCGGGAUCGCCCCGGGCGCCAUCGUGUGCCCCGGAUCCAGGCGCCCGCCGGGGGACUUAAACUCUUGUUUUAAUUUGUUUCUCUGAGUGGAUUACACAAAUAAUCAAAACUUUUAACAAUGGAUCU
rnacentral:misc_RNA from 1 species